rnacentral:rRNA from 1 species
UACGUAGGGUGCGAGCGUUGUCCGGAAUUAUUGGGCGUAAAGAGCUCGUAGGCGGUGUGUCACGUCGUUCGUGAAAACCUGCAGCUUAACUGUGGCGUGCGGUCGAUACGGGCAUCACUGGAGUUCGGCAGGGGAGACUGGAAUUCCUGGUGUAGCGGUGAAAUGCGUAGAGAUCGGAAAGAACACCAACGGCGAAAGCACUCUGCUGGGCCGACACUGACACUGAGAGACGAAAGCUAGGGGAGCGAAUGGG